AUUAAAGAGCAGUUAAAAAAACUCCAGAAACAACAUUGUUGUUCUGUGUCUCUGACAGGGUUCUGACCUGGGGGUCAGCCAGCCCUGGCGGCGGUGGGGGGCGGGGGGUUGGACUCCAGAGGGAUGAAUGGGCCAUCUCAAAACCCAGGGGCUCCCAGUCAAGGUCCCAGCUCAUCCUCCAGCCCCAUUGGGAGCUAACCUGGUCCGUCGUGAUUACUUGGAAGGAAGAAGAAUUCCAUUCCAGAAGAUUCCAAGCCAUUCUUUGGUAGACACGGUCUCACUGGGAGGUGUCCUUCAUGGUGACCCUGAUCAGGGUUCUUGGCCUUCCCCAACCAAUACAAAUGGACUAGAGGUCAGACAAGAAAUUCAGGCCACGUGCGCCUGUCACAGUAGCGAUGAUGUCCUCGGCGGCUUCCCCUCUCCUCGCCAUCUCUCUCGCCACUUGGGUCUGGGUUCUGAGGUUUUCUGUUGUCUGUUGCUGGCCUGGUGGAAGGAGAGACAGAUCUGCUGGCUUGGGCUCAUCCCAUGAAAAUCAGGAUGGGCGGGAUGCCCGGAGACGCACCAGCGUCCUUGAGUUACGCCAGUGGAAACACGAGUCAUGUACCCUGUGUUGGAGGACGUGUAAAACUGACACCGUUUACCAGAUGUUCCAGGAUUUUACGAG
rnacentral:lncRNA from 1 species